GACGAACGCUGGCGGCGUGCCUAAUACAUGCAAGUCGAACGAGAGCGACCGGUGCUUGCACUGGUCAAUCUAGUGGCGAACGGGUGAGUAACACGUGGGUAACUUGCCCAUCAGAGGGGGAUAACAUCCGGAAACGGAUGCUAAAACCGCAUAGGUCUUCGAGCCGCAUGGCUUGAAGAGGAAAAGAGGCGCAAGCUUCUGCUGAUGGAUGGACCCGCGGUGCAUUAGCUAGUUGGUGAGGUAACGGCUCACCAAGGCCGUGAUGCAUAGCCGACCUGAGAGGGUGAUCGGCCACAUUGGGACUGAGACACGGCCCAAACUCCUACGGGAGGCAGCAGUAGGGAAUCUUCCGCAAUGGACGCAAGUCUGACGGAGCAACGCCGCGUGAGUGAAGAAGGUUUUCGGAUCGUAAAACUCUGUUGUUAGAGAAGAACAAGUGCUAGAGUAACUGUUAGCGCCUUGACGGUAGCUAACCAGAAAGCCACGGCUAACUACGUG
rnacentral:rRNA from 1 species